GUUGUAUGGUUAAGUGACUAAGCGUACACGGUGGAUGCCUUGGCAGUCAGAGGCGAUGAAAGGCGUAAUAACUUGCGAUAAGCCCAGAUUAGGUAGUAAUAACCUUUGAGUCUGGGAUUCCUGAAUGGGGAAACCCACGUGCAUAAGCACGUAUCCUGUUGUGAAUACAUAGCAACAGGAGGCAAACCGGGGGAACUGAAACAUCUAAGUACCCCGAGGAAGAG
rnacentral:rRNA from 1 species